GGAAAAGAUGUUAGUUAUUACCGUCCAGUCUCGAGUUGCAUACAAAAAAUCAAAUUUGCAAUGUGGUGAUUGACACAUUAUGUAUGAUUC